rnacentral:rRNA from 1 species
UAAUACGUAGGGUGCAGGCGUUAAUCGGAAUUACUGGGCGUAAAGCGUGCGCAGGCGGUUUGCUAAGACAGGUGUGAAAUCCCCGGGCUUAACCUGGGAAUUGCGCUUGUAACUGGCAGGCUAGAGUGUGGCAGAGGGGGGUGGAAUUCCACGUGUAGCAGUGAAAUGCGUAGAUAUGUGGAGGAACACCGAUGGCGAAGGCAGCCCCCUGGGUCAACACUGACGCUCAGGCACGAAAGCGUGGGGAGCAAACAGG